rnacentral:rRNA from 1 species
CAGGUACANAGGGAUGCUACCGGGCGACCGGAUGCGGAUCUCGAAAGCCUGUCCCAGUUCGGACUGGAGUCUGCAACCCGACUCCACGAAGUUGGAUUCGCUAGUAAUCGCGCAUCAGCCAUGGCGCGGUGAAUACGUUCCCGGGCCUUGUACACACCGCCCGUCAAGCCAUGGGAGCCGGGGGCGCCUGAAGUCCGGGACCGCGAGGACCGGCCUAGGGCGAAACUGGUAACUGGGCUAAGUCGUAACAAGGUAGC